CCUACGGGAGGCUGCAGUGAGGAAUAUUGGUCAAUGGACGCAAGUCUGAACCAGCCAUGCCGCGUGCAGGAAGACGGCCCUAUGAGUUGUAAACUGCUUUUGUACGAGGGUAAAUCCCGAUACGGGUAUCGGGUUGAAAGUGUCUUACGAAUAAGAAUCGGCUAACUCCGUGCCAGAAGCCGCGGUAAUACGGAGGAUUCAAGCGGUAUCCGGAUUUAGUGGGUUUAAAGGGUGCGCAGGCGGAAGAUCAAGUCAGCGGUAAAAUUGAGAGGCUAAACCUCUUCGAGCCGUUGAAACUGGUUUUCUUGAGUGUGCGAGAAGGAUGCGGAAUGCGUGGUGUAGCGGUGAAAUGCAUAGAUAUCACGCAGAACUCCGAUUGCGAAGGCAGCAUACCGGCGCUCAACUGACGCUCAUGCACGAAAGUGUGGGUAUCGAACAGGAUUAGAUACCCUUGUAGUC
rnacentral:rRNA from 1 species